rnacentral:rRNA from 1 species
GCGCGUAAAUUGCCCGAAUCCUGACACAGGGAGGUAGUGACAAGAAAUAACAAUACAGGGCUACUUCUAGUCUUGUAAUUGGAAUGAGUACAACUUACAUCUCUUCUCGAGGAUCAAUUGGAGGGCAAGUCUGGUGCCAGCAGCCGCGGUAAUUCCAGCUCCAAUAGCGUAUAUUAAAGUUGUUGCAGUUAAAAAGCUCGUAGUCGGAUUUCGGGUCGGGCCGAGCGGUCUGCCGAUGGGUAUGCACUGUUCGGCGCGGCCUUCUUUCCGGAGACCGCGGCUACUCUUAACUGAGCGGGCGUGGGAGACGGAUCGUUUACUUUGAAAAAAUCAGAGUGUUUCAAGCAGGCAGCUCGCUCUUGCAUGGAUUAGCAUGGGAUAAUGAAAUAGGACUCUGGUGCUAUUUUGUUGGUUUCGAACACCGGAGUAAUGAUUAACAGGGACAGUCAGGGGCACUCGUAUUCC